rnacentral:lncRNA from 1 species
AGGAGGUGGGCGCGCCCGCCAAGGAGGGAAGGGGGCGGGGUGUGCCGCCGUGUGUUGGGGGGCGGCGGGGUCGGAGAGGGGACAUUUCCCCGUAGGCAAGCGCCGGGCCGCGGCUCCGAGUCCCCGCCCGUGGCCGCCCCCGCGAGUUGGCCUUGGGCCCGGCGGUCCCCGAGGGCGGCUCAGAUUCUUUCGCCAAACCCGCCGGGAGCGACGGACCGGCCGCCCAGAGCUUCGCCAUCCCCUCCUUGGGCGGCCGACUCUGAACACGCGCGUCUCGGAGCUUGCGGCCCGCGCGCCCCAAGUGACUCCGGGCAAGGGCGCCCAGCUUCCCGACCGCGCGCCUCCCGCCGAGUCCUGGACGCCUAGGCGAGUGGCCGCCGCAGCCGAAGGAGUGACGCCGUCUCUCUGGCGGCAGAAAGGGCUGGUCUAAAUUAGCAGAAAACUCCGAAUCGAAAGCCGGCGAGUGGUGCUGAAGCGUCUCCCCGCGCACCUUUCCCGACCCGGGGGCCGCCCCCGCGCCUCUGACCGCGCAGGAUGCGCCUCCUGCCCCGACCCCGGCGACGGCCCGCCCCCGCGCGGGGGGCUGCCAAUUCCUUAGAGAGGAAGACGCUGCGCACUUAGGCCUUGGAGCCGGGUCCCGUCCGGACCGCCCGUUUGGGGACUAGGCCUUGGCCUCGGUAGCUCCGGGGGCUGUCGGGGGACCUGGAACAGCGGGUGCCGCUGCCUCUACGGGACGCUUCAGGGCCUAAGAGGGAGGCGCCCGGCGCCUGCGAUGCCCAGGUCUGCUGCCACCUGCAGGGUGACCAGAAGGCUGCUGUCUUUGUGCGCUGGGCUAACCCGCUUGCCCCAGACAGUGAACCCGACCUUCUGCCUUCCUGGAAAGCACCACGGGGAGCCUCGCUCUUCAAGGCGAACAGUGGCUGGGAGGCCCCACAUGAUGGACCCCCAGACUCCAUCCACACCCUAGAUCCUCCUCGCUCCAGACCCCACUCCCAUUCUGGGCCCGCACCGCAUGGACCCCAGCCCCCAGGAUUCCUGCCCUCCACCAUCGCCAUCACCUGGUCCCCGGCUCCGUGCACCAUGCUCCUCUGUCUUCUGAGCCCUGAGCCCCCCUGAGAAGUGACGAGGCCAGGAGAGGCUUUCUGGGCCCACGUGCAGGAGGCGAGCCAGGAUGCUGAAGUUGACCCUCGCUUUAGGACACCAGCUUUCUGAGCCCAGACAGGCUGCCGAGCGCUGUGCUCGUCCUUCCAAGCGGGACUUCAGGUCUAAUGACGCUUCUUGUUCGAGAUGUCUGAGUUGAACCUCUCUGAAGCGGAGCCCUGCAUCAAGGAUGACAGAGAAAGGCACACAGUGGCUUGAAAUAAGCGUGUCACAGAGAAAGUCUCCUUUCCUAGAAAGGGGUCUGGCCGGCUGCAGG